GCGAGGUGACGAGGAAAUUCAUGGUCUGUCAAUCCACUGAUUGAUGAAAUCGUGAUGUUGCAAAUGAAUCCCGACACGUUCUGAUCGC